rnacentral:RNase_P_RNA from 1 species
CGAGCCGGGCGGACGGCCGCGUGAAGACCCCUCAGGGGGCGCUUCCCGAGGAACGUCCGGGCUCCACAGGGCAAGGUGGUGGCUAACGGCCACCCGGGGUGACCCGCGGGACAGUGCCACAGAAAACAGACCGCCCGGUGCUUCGGCGCCGGGUAAGGGUGAAACGGUGGUGUAAGAGACCACCAGUGCCCAGGGUGACCUGGGCAGCUAGGUAAACCCCACCUGGAGCAAGGUCAAAAGGAGACGCCCCGGCGUCUCUGCGCGGACGACCGAGGGCUGCCCGCCCGAGUCCGCGGGUAGACCGCACGAGGCCGGCAGCAAUGCCGGCCCUAGAUGGAUGGCCGUCGCCGCGACGUCCGCGAGGACCCGCGGCACAGAACCCGGCGUACAGCCCGACUCGUCUG